rnacentral:rRNA from 1 species
GAUGAACGCUGGCGGCGUGCCUAAUACAUGCAAGUCGAGCGAACGGACGAGAAGCUUGCUUCUCUGAUGUUAGCGGCGGACGGGUGAGUAACACGUGGAUAACCUACCUAUAAGACUGGGAUAACUUCGGGAAACCGGAGCUAAUACCGGAUAAUAUUUUGAACCGCAUGGUUCAAAAGUGAAAGACGGUCUUGCUGUCACUUAUAGAUGGAUCCGCGCUGCAUUAGCUAGUUGGUAAGGUAACGGCUUACCAAGGCAACGAUGCAUAGCCGACCUGAGAGGGUGAUCGGCCACACUGGAACUGAGACACGGUCCAGACUCCUACGGGAGGCAGCAGUAGGGAAUCUUCCGCAAUGGGCGAAAGCCUGACGGAGCAACGCCGCGUGAGUGAUGAAGGUCUUCGGAUCGUAAAACUCUGUUAUUAGGGAAGAACAUAUGUGUAAGUAACUGUGCACAUCUUGACGGUACCUAAUCAGAAAGCCACGGCUAACUACGUGCCAGCAGCCGCGGUAAUACGUAGGUGGCAAGCGUUACCCGGAAUUAUUGGGCGUAAAGCGCGCGUAGGCGGUUUUUUAAGUCUGAUGUGAAAGCCCACGGCUCAACCGUGGAGGGUCAUUGGAAACUGGAAAACUUGAGUGCAGAAGAGGAAAGUGGAAUUCCAUGUGUAGCGGUGAAAUGCGCAGAGAUAUGGAGGAACACCAGUGGCGAAGGCGACUUUCUGGUCUGUAACUGACGCUGAUGUGCGAAAGCGUGGGGAUCAAACAGGAUUAGAUACCCUGGUAGUCCACGCCGUAAACGAUGAGUGCUAAGUGUUAGGGGGUUUCCGCCCCUUAGUGCUGCAGCUAACGCAUUAAGCACUCCGCCUGGGGAGUACGACCGCAAGGUUGAAACUCAAAGGAAUUGACGGGGACCCGCACAAGCGGUGGAGCAUGUGGUUUAAUUCGAAGCAACGCGAAGAACCUUACCAAAUCUUGACAUCCUUUGACAACUCUAGAGAUAGAGCUUUCCCCUUCGGGGGACAAAGUGACAGGUGGUGCAUGGUUGUCGUCAGCUCGUGUCGUGAGAUGUUGGGUUAAGUCCCGCAACGAGCGCAACCCUUAAGCUUAGUUGCCAUCAUUAAGUUGGGCACUCUAAGUUGACUGCCGGUGACAAACCGGAGGAAGGUGGGGAUGACGUCAAAUCAUCAUGCCCCUUAUGAUUUGGGCUACACACGUGCUACAAUGGACAAUACAAAGGGCAGCGAAACCGUGAGGUCAAGCAAAUCCCAUAAAGUUGUUCUCAGUUCGGAUUGUAGUCUGCAACUCGACUACAUGAAGCUGGAAUCGCUAGUAAUCGUAGAUCAGCAUGCUACGGUGAAUACGUUCCCGGGUCU